GAUUAACGCUGGCGGCGUGCAUAGCACAUGCAAGUCGAACGAUGAAACUUUAAUGAACCCUUCGGGGAGAAUUAAAGCGGAUUAGUGGCGAACGGGUGAGUAACGCGUGAGUAACCUGCCUUACACAAGGGGAUAGCCUUUGGAAACGAAGAAUAAUACCCUAUAAAACCAUAAAAGCACAUGCAAUUAUGGUCAAAGUGAUAGCGGUGUAAGAUGGACUUGCGUCUGAUUAGCUAGUUGGUGAGAUAAAAGCCCACCAAGGCAACGAUCAGUAGCCGGCUUGAGAGAGUGUACGGCCACAUUGGGACUGAGACACGGCCCAGACUCCUACGGGAGGCAGCAGUGGGGAAUUUUGCACAAUGGGGGAAACCCUGAUGCAGCGACGCCGCGUGAUUUAGAAGGCCUUCGGGUUGUAAAAAUCUUUUGUAUAGGAAGAAAAUGACAGUACUAUACGAAUAAGGUCCGGCUAAUUACGUG
rnacentral:rRNA from 1 species